UUAUGAUGGGAUGCUGGCUCAAUCGAAAAACAUGCGAAGGCAAGCUGGAGGCGGCACCCAAGCAGCUCCAUCUGGAUUUAGAUAGGCACAGGAGUGAAAUGCCCAAAUAGAAUUCAGCCAUUGGCACUGUGUUAACAUGUUUAUCAAUCAAGCUAAAGUAGAAGAAUGAAUAUCAUUCUGGUACUUAUGAGCUUUUUCUAAAUACUUUCAUAAUGUUAUUACACUGGAUCUAGAUGUUGAAAGAACAGCCAUGUUAAAUACAAUGCAAGAUUUUGAAUUUCCUAAA